GGAGACCACCAUCCAAUCCUCCACCAUGAUGGGUCCCUGGCUCCCCAGAGGCUCCUGUGUGGCAGCUGUGGUCCUGACCCUGAUGGCCCUGAGCCCUCGGUGGCUUUGGUCAGGGACCCCAGAUGUCUGUGUGAGAGGCCCCGGAUAUCAGCCAUUUUCUUCCAGUAACAUCUCCAGCCUUGUGUCACAUUCCCUCAGGGCCUAGAGAAGACUGAUGAAUCAUGAUGUUAAAUUAGCCGCUUGCACAGGGCUUGUGGUCUUCAUUGUGUUGAGCUAUAUCAGAUAAAGAGGUUUCUCUUUAAAAACAUAA